GUGGCUAUAGGUUAAUGGUAGACUGAUCAGCUUCCACCUGAUUUGUGCUGAUUCGAUUUCAGCUAGCCACA
rfam:Dactylellina haptotyla CBS 200.50 unplaced genomic scaffold scaffold00325, whole genome shotgun sequence.